rnacentral:rRNA from 1 species
UCUGGUGACGAUACCGGAGUGGUCACACCUGUUCCCAUCCCGAACACAGAAGUUAAGCACUCCAGGGCCAAAAAUAGCUAUGCCUGCCAUAG